UUUGAGGAGCAUCCUCUUCUGCAACCAAUACGUGCUAUGCGGUUACUCAUCUCCUUCGAGGAUCUCAUCGAUAUUGAAGGGAUGCUCGGAUGCAUGAAAUGUCCGAAUUUUCAGUACAAUUGUCCAAAGGAUUGAAUGCUGGUCAUGCUUUGUUGGCAUUUUGUGAUGUCUUUCUGAUUUCUGG